ACAAUAAAUAACGUCGCGACCAAAUACAAUUCGAAAUUAGUAAAAGAAACACUGAGCGCUGACCUAAUGACUAUUAGGGUGAAGAGCCGAAUGAGAAUAAACUAAAAAGAUCAGUGAAAGCAAAAUAGGAAAUGCACAGAGGGUAGUCUGUGUGCGUAAAGCAAGGCUGAACAAAGAACCGGUCGCUGUCGCUGAGGAUUGUAGCAGAUUUGGUGCCCCUGUCAGACAGGUACUCGCAUGUAUGCAGAAUAAAGGAAAAUCCAGCAGAAAUGAAAAUUGAUAAGCAGCAGCACACAAACGAAUACACCACCAUCAAAACGCAGAUAUAAAUAUACAACACGCGCGCUCUCCCUCGUUCGCUCGCACACAAGCAAUUGAGCACAUUUAAGCAACAUAUGUGCGCAGUAAGCACAUACAGAUAUGUUAAUAAAUUAACAGCUGUUUGCAGCAGCAGCAGUCACCAACACGUGCACAUGCCCUAUAGAAAGAGAGCGAGAGCGAGCGCGCAGAUGUUGGCAAGCGACUUGUUUUGAGUGAAAUCCGUCUAUAUCGCACUCAACUCAUACACACACAGAGAUAGAGUUUACAUAAAGUGAGCGCGCACAUGCUGUGCUGCUAAUCAGCUGUUCUCGGCCGUUUUGUUUAUGUUUUGCUUUUCGUAAGCAGCGCUACGCUGCGCUGUUGGCUGACUGCCCCUUCUUCCUAUGUAUGUGCGAGCGAGCGAGCAAGCGAGCAACGAGUUGGAACUCGUUGUAUGUGUAUUGUGUGUGUGACUUGUCAUGCUUGUUUCGUCGCUGCGAGAACGCAAUGCACGAUCCCGCAUUUAUAUAUACACGUAUACAAACUCAUACAUCCAUAGAUACGUAUGAAAAUACAAUAAGCACACGCGACGAACAAAAGAUAAAAAGCAAAACAAGCAAAAGGCAAUUGUAGCAGCAGCGUAGCACAGCAAACGUGUUGGCGGCAACGGCAACGCCGCCCUUUGCAACGCAGGCAGCGACUUCGCAUCGUCUUGCCUACACUACACAAAAUAACUACUCAAAUCUGACACGAAAACCAACAAAAGCAACCGUCAAUCACAGUAAAACGAAUUGAGUUCAAGGCCGUUUUGAAAUGAAACCAGCAAAACGCUGCCGACAUGAAAAUGUGUUUGAAUUUGAUUUUUUCGCUAGUUUUGUCUAUCUUGCAGCCACAAGUUUUUCA